rnacentral:misc_RNA from 1 species
UCUCCGUUAUCCGGAGCAGUCCUCUUAGAGUUCUCCCUUGCGGGUAGCAACUAAGAAUAAGGGUUGCGCUCGUUGCGGGACUUAACCCAACACCUCACGGCACGAGCUGACGACAGCCAUGCAGCACCUCUACCACUGUCUCUUGCGAGAAGGCGAUGUUUCCACCGCUGGUCAGUGGCAGUUCAAGCCCAGGUAAGGUUCUUCGCGUUGCGUCGAAUUGAACCACAUGUUCCACCGCUUGUGCGGGCCCCCGUCAAUUCCUUUGAGUUUCAGUCUUGCGACCGUACUCCCCAGGCGCAGGACUUAACGCGUUAGCUACGGGACGCACCCCCAACGGGAUGCACCCCAAGUCCUGAUCGUUUACGGCGUGGACUAC